rnacentral:lncRNA from 1 species
UUACCAACAAACUGCAAGGGUGCCUGUGCCCUGGAGGAGGGGUUAGGAUAUGUGCUCUGGCCAUCAAGACAGACAGCCCAUCUCAUCAAUGUCAACAGGAAAGAUCCAACUCCCUUAUCCACAAAAAUACUUGUAUUUUCUUAUGAAGAGGAAAUUUUCUGUCUCUGCUUCUUCUCUGCCUCUACUCACUUCUGCUCUUGGACAAAACUGGAAGAUUUUCUGGGUUUCAGACGUAGCAGAGUUCAAAUUGUCAAAGACCACCUCCAGGGUGACUCUCCCUGCGCUCAGUGGUGUUCUUACAGCAUGGAUGCUUCCAUAGGAGAAAACAUCUGAAAAUGGAAGACCUAAGCCGUCUCCUUCCCUUGUUCAACCUGCCAGUGAGCAGCUGCUGCUGCCAUGUCAGUGGUAUCACCCUGUCCUCACUCACCUCUGACUGGUCCAUGAAUAUUGCAGACUCCUGAGAGUGGGGAGAGCCUACAGAUGAGCUAGCACAGUGUCAGCACAGUAGGAUGCCGUUCUGUCCUUAAGCAUCAUCCCCAACUUCCUAUAAGAAACAGGAGUGAGAGCAAUUUGUCUCCCUAGGAACUUUAGUAUAAAUAUGCUGGGAUAACUAGCUUUGAUAGGAAAAAAUUUUUACAGGUUAAGUGUUUCUUUGGGCACUGGCUUGAAAUAUCUAUUUGGGGAUUCCCGACUCGGAAAAUUGUAGCUUAACAUCUGAGGUGAACAGGCUGUCAUUCAUGAGGGCAGAACAAGUAAACACAGCUAUCAUCACAUUAAAGACAAGACACUGUGGAGGUUUUGGAGCAAAGUAGGAGGAAUUUCUCAACACAGGUCCAUUCCUUCCCCCUAAGCAGCUCCUCUUCUUGGAGACAUACCACAUGCAGAACUUCUCUACUAUGAAGCUGCAGUGAUGUUUUUGAGUAUAGACAUGGGCAGAAACAGUACAAACAGCAGAGGGUGUUAAAAGUGACUGCACAGUGAAAACUGAGAACUCCACACCUAAUUUAUCUGUAAAUGGCACAGGAUAUACUCUUUAUUGCUUACUAGUUUGCUCUCCUAAAGAGAGAACAUUAGGUGAAUCAUCAAAGUGCAAGGACAAAGUGAAACAAGGAUUGUGCCUGUCCACUGGGCCAACCUCUAAAGCUGUACUUCAGGCUUUUUCCUCCUCUUCAGUCUCAGUUUUCCCUGAAGAAGAUAAGCCAUGGAAUUUGCAGGACCAAGAUCUUCAUCACAAAGUCUCCUCCAGUGUCUCAAUUCCCCAGGGUGUCAAGGAAGUUUAGCCCCCUCUUUGGAAGCAGCAGAACAUCCUUCCUUAGAUGGAUCAGCCUCUGCACACUGGGCCCUGUGCACACAGGGCUCAGCAUCCCUGAGGAAUAUAUACCCAGAUGAAGUUUUGAGCAUUUGGCUAUGAUCCUGGAAUAACCUCCAUGAAGUCGAUGGAUUUUCCCCAGAUUUACUUCAGUAUAAUGAGCUAAGAAUUUGGACCUCUGUGCCAUAUUGUGUGGAAUUUUAUUAAUUUUAAAUAAAGUUUCCACCUUAAAUGAAUU